GUGUUCAGGUCGCUCACGCAACCUGCGAGCAGGAAGAGGAUAUUGUUUCAGCUUGAUUGUGCUUAGACAACAUGUUCGUCGUCUAACUCUUAUCUCUCUUAAUGAAUACGAGGUAAUUAUCAACAUUGAUCAUAUAAAAAGUUGUGUAUUGUGUAACUUAACUUACUGUGUUCAAGUAUCUCGCAACAAUUACGCGAAUUAAUCUAUACACGCUUCCUAAUUACUUUGACACGCAAGAUAUAAUUCGCAUAACAUCAUCCUAGCCACAGCUAGAGCACCGCUCUGCAUAUCGAACAUAUAAUAGCUCAUAUCAUUAUACCUGCAUAGCUGCAUUUCCCAGUGCCCUUGAAUGGCGUGAUGGAGAUGGCGAGAUUGUAGCCAUCGACGAGGCUGACAUCGUAGAAGUCCUGGUCGUUGCCUAGGGUGAUCUCAGCGAGGGUGGCAGGAGGGGUGCCGCCAAGGCCGUUGCAGUGGAGGGAGCCGCCGCAGUCUCCAGUGGCGCACCGGCCGUGUCCGUUGGCAUCAAAGGUGCAGCCAUGGCGGCCCCAGAAGCGGCCGGACCAGAGGGCCGG
rnacentral:lncRNA from 1 species